AGUGAACGCUGGCGGUAGGCCUAACACAUGCAAGUCGAACGGCAGCACAGUAAGAGCUUGCUCUUACGGGUGGCGAGUGGCGGACGGGUGAGGAAUACAUCGGAAUCUACUUUUUCGUGGGGGAUAACGUAGGGAAACUUACGCUAAUACCGCAAACGACCUACGGGUGAAAGAAGGGGAUCUUCGGACCUUGCGCGAUUGAAUGAGCCGAUGUCGGAUUAGCUAGUUGGCGGGGUAAAGGCCCACCAAGGCGACGAUCCGUAGCUGGUCUGAGAGGAUGAUCAGCCACACUGGAACUGAGACACGGUCCAGACUCCUACGGGAGGCAGCAGUGGGGAAUAUUGGACAAUGGGCGCAAGCCUGAUCCAGCCAUACCGCGUGGGUGAAGAAGGCCUUCGGGUUGUAAAGCCCUUUUGUUGGGAAAGAAAAGCAGCAGGUUAAUACCCCGCUGUUCUGACGGUACCCAAAGAAUAAGCACCGGCUAACUUCGUG
rnacentral:rRNA from 1 species